CCGCUCAGAUUGAACGCUGGCGGCAGGCCUAACACAUGCAAGUCGAGCGGAUGAAGAGAGCUUGCUCUCUGAUUCAGCGGCGGACGGGUGAGUAAUGCCUAGGAAUCUGCCUGAUAGUGGGGGACAACGUUUCGAAAGGAACGCUAAUACCGCAUACGUCCUACGGGAGAAAGCAGGGGACCUUCGGGCCUUGCGCUAUCAGAUGAGCCUAGGUCGGAUUAGCUAGUUGGUGAGGUAACGGCUCACCAAGGCGACGAUCCGUAACUGGUCUGAGAGGAUGAUCAGUCACACUGGAACUGAGACACGGUCCAGACUCCUACGGGAGGCAGCAGUGGGGAAUAUUGGACAAUGGGCGAAAGCCUGAUCCAGCCAUGCCGCGUG
rnacentral:rRNA from 1 species